UACGUAGGGGGCAAGCGUUGUCCGGAAUCAUUGGGCGUAAAGAGCGUGUAGGCGGCUCGAUAAGUCUGCUGUGAAGGUCCAGGGCUCAACCCUGGAAGGCCGGUGGAAACUGUCGGGCUAGAGUCCGGAAGAGGCGAGUGGAAUUCCCGGUGUAGCGGUGAAAUGCGCAGAUAUCGGGAGGAACACCUGAGGCGAAGGCGGGCUACUGGGCCGAUACUGACGCUGAGGCGCGAAAGCCAGGGGAGCAAACGGG
rnacentral:rRNA from 1 species